UACGGAGGGGGCUAGCGUUGUUCGGAAUUACUGGGCGUAAAGCGCACGUAGGCGGCUUUGCAAGUUAGAGGUGAAAGCCCGGGGCUCAACUCCGGAAUUGCCUUUAAAACUGCAUCGCUAGAAUUGUGGAGAGGUAAGUGGAAUUCCGAGUGUAGAGGUGAGAUUCGUAGAUAUUCGGAAGAACACCAGUGGCGAAGGCGACUUACUGGACACAUAUUGACGCUGAGGUGCGAAAGCGUGGGGAGCAAACAGG
rnacentral:rRNA from 1 species